rnacentral:ncRNA from 1 species
UUAGCCUUACUGUUAGUUUUAACAAAAAUUACACAUGCAAGUCUCUUCAUUCCAGUGAGAAUACCCUUAUCGUCCCCUCAGAAGAAAAGGAGUUGGUAUCAGGCUCAAUCAGCCCAAUACACCUAGCUUAGCCACACCCCCAAGGGAAUUCAGCAGUGAUAAAUAUUAAGCAUUAGCGUAAGCUAGACUUAGUUAUUGUUAAUAUAGUCGGUCAAUUUCGUGCCAGCCACCGCGGUUAUACGAAAGACUUUAACUGACAGCCAUCGGCGUAAAGCGUGAUUAGAGGCCCUUCCCUAACUAAAGUUAAACCUUGACCCGGCUGUUAUACGCUCCGUCAACGAGAAACCCAUUUACGAAAGUGACUUUAUUAUCCCCGAAUUCACGACAGCCAAGACCCAAACUGGGAUUAGAUACCCCACUAUGCUUGGCCUUAAACUAUGAUUAAUUACAAUUUUAUUCGCCAGGGAACUACGAGCGUCAGCUUAAAACCCAAAGGACUUGGCGGUGCCCUACACCACCUAGAGGAGCCUGUUCUAUAAUCGAUAAUCCACGAUUCACCUCACCACUUCUUGCCUAAACCGCCUAUAUACCGCCGUCGUCAACUUACCCUUUGAAGGACUAAUAGUAAGUUUAAAAGUAAACACUCAAACGUCAGGUCAAGGUGUAGCGUAUGGAGCGGGAAGAAACGGGCUACAUUUUCUAUUUUAGACCAUACGGAUAAUCAGUAUGAAACCUGACUAGGAAGGAGGAUUUAGUAGUAAAAAGAAAUCAGCAAGUUCUUUUUAACACGGCCCUAGGGCGCGCACACACCGCCCGUCGCCCUCUUCGACUCUUUCACAUUUAUUUUAUAAUUCGAUAUUGGAGGCAAGAAGAGGUAAGUCGUAACAUGGUAAGUAUACCGGAAGGUGUGCUUGGCU